UUUUUAUUAUUUUAUCUGUAAGUUCAUGUUUUUCUAAGAAAAAAUCUUUCUAAUGUCCUUUUCAUGAUGUCCCUUUUCAACUAUACCCUUUUGUUUUAUCCAUUUUCAUUUCUACCCUCUUUAAAUUUUUAAUAACCAUGUUACCCCUAUUUGAAAAUUGUUUUAGGUUAAUAAAAUGAAAUAUUAAUAUUUUUUCGCCUAAAAUAU
rnacentral:sRNA from 1 species